CAAACCUGCAUAUUCGACCGGACGGCUUCAGUCUGGUGUGUAAAGCGGGUUUAAUGGUUUCUUUUAGAGGAUUCUCUCUAUAAAAGGUCCAUAGGAGGCCCAACGGUUCUGAGAGCUUCAACAGUCCAUCCCUCUUCUCCGCGGCCUUCCGUCGUGAGUCCAUUUAAGCUUAGUUGGGGACUAUUUUCAGCGGCGGAUGAAUCCACAGCGGGUGCUCUAGUGCAACGCGGUCUCUACACAGUGAAACGUGUGUUUUUGUGCAGCGGCUUCUUUUUGUGUGACAAAGGUCACAACAGCUCAGCAGCACUGAAGGUCCCGUGUUUGUUGGGCUGUGUGAGCGUGUGGCGCUGCGUGUUGGACUGAGUCACAGUAGGCCGCGGGUGCGUGUUUGUGGUGAUGGAGACGCAGGUCACACGGUGGAAAGAAAGAGGCCGGUGUGUCAGCGGCCUUCUCCCCUCUGUACUGAUGCAGGUUUACUGUCAUCGCACCUUAGGUGGUUCUCCAUUGUCCCCGUCCACGUAACUCUGGGCUGAGCAGCAGAUCAAAGCAGCGGUCUCCACGGAGAAGCUCCAAACAAAGACCGAUACGCUCACAAUGCCGAGGCGCCAUGGACUCAGUGAUCAGCGCAGACAGCCCACCUACAGGCGCAUUACACCUCACUUCCUCCUCGUGCUUUAACCUCCGCAACAAGCAAGGGGCACUGUGGCUAAUUUAGUGUUUUUUUACAAGAGACCAAACACUUCAAACAGGACCACACACACGCACAGGCUGCCAGAGGUGUGGUGAACAUCUGGGGACAUCUGGUGGACGAGCAGGGUAGAAGCAAGCGAGGAGAGACCUGAACAAGCGAUAUGAAACACCACCGUGUCUUCAUCCAGAGGUGCUCACAUCACUCCACUGACCCAAAUUAAUUACAUAGAAUUUGAUCAAAAUCAACAAUUGAAAAAACGGAUAUAAAAAUGACAUAACAAAAUGUGUUUGGAAAAAGGACGUCAAACACACAGAUUACACAAGAUUUUGGAAUAAAUAUCAAAAUAUUAGCAGAUGUCUGUGCAGUAAAUGCAGCCUUGUAUACUUCACAUAAUCAUGAUAAAUAUUAAAGUUGUAUAGUUGUGUAAUUCCAGACUGAUAUUCUCCAUGCUGCAUAUUAAUGUGUAUCUCAAACGUUUCAUGCCUAGCUCCUAUGGAGCUAAUUACAAUAUUUGACUUCCAUUUUAAAUCUGGUCAAGGAAACAUAGUUUAAAAUCUGUUAAUGGACCUCUGAGCCUCUUGCUGUUGAUUCAUGAACAAAUGAACGAUCUCUAAACCUCUCUGUAAUUCUUCAGGUGGCCUCUAGAUGGAGCCCCCCCCCCCCCUCUAGCCCAGACUUUCCUGUAGUCCCAGAUUGGGUUUGAUCCAGCCUGCAGUUCUACAAACACCCAGCAGACGCUGAAGGAGACGACGAGGUGCUGCAGUGGGGCAGCCGAUGGUGGACGAGUUCCACCCCGAACGUUCUCUCACCUCAGAAGAAGAGCAUGAAGUGACAGCCGAGUGUCCUCUGAGCGGGAUGUUUAACCCCCCCGAAACCUUCAAUUAAUCCACUAUUAAUAAAGGAUCAAUCAUUCGGGACACCUUACAUUCAAGGGCUGCUAAUUGCAGAGUUUAUGAACAUUUAAUAACGUUACCUUUGAUACUUGUUGAGCUCAUUAACUUUUAAUCCCUGACCUCAUGCAUGAUUAAUAACUCUCUGUCUGAUCCUUUUUUUAAAUGGGGCUCAGUCUCUGACAGAUGGAUGGCCCAACCGCUGCCAACUGCUUCACAUGCAGUAUUCAAGAUGUAUGUAACACACACACACACGCACACACACACACACACACACACACACACGUGUCCCCAUCACUCCCAUCAGACAGAGGGGGAAGUGUCACGGCAGUACUCUCUACUUCUGGAUGGGAUUGAACUCUUUUCAGUUCAUCAGUAAACGGUGACACACAGAGAGCAGGCGGAUUUAAUACAAUCCCCAAAACGUUUAUUUCAAACUAAACAUAAGACAUUAUUAUUAUUUGUGGAUUCUAUCAAAUAAAAAUCAAGCGCAUCUCUUUCUCCUUUAUGACCAAAAACAUUUCUGUUUUUUGUACAUUAGAAUAAAUUCAUGAUGAAAGGAUUUAUUAAACCUGCAGCAUAACUUAUCUUAAUAGCCACUUUACAAAUCCUUAAUGACAUGGCAUGAGAUUAGACUUUGUCUUUAUAUAAUAAAAGUCAGAUGGUGAAAGAAGCUGAAGAUAAAACCACCUUUAGUUUACAACUUACUGGUUUCCUGACCAAGAAUCAAACUAAUUAGACGACUUUAAUGGAAGAAGGUUAUUCCCGUCUGACUAUUUAAAUAAAACAUUUUAUAGUGUGGUAUUGAUCAUUCAUUAACUAUUUAUACACCAUUUAAAGAGAACACAAAGCAGGAAUGAAGACUGACAAACACAUUAGACAAAUGAUCAAUUAAUGAUAUUAUCGUUCGCACAACUUUGCUUGUUUGAUUUCAUGUUAAAUCAAAAAAGCACAAAUCACAGUUGUUUGCCACUGAUUGAACCGUAUUGAGAAAGACACUUAAGUCCGAUCAUGAAGCUUCUCCUGAGACCGCUGGCGGUUUGUAACGUAUCUCCAGGCCUCAGAGUUUGAGCCCCCGACACACGGGGAGCCGCAUAGAUUAAGAUCUGCUAAUUAAAGGAAGGCUCUCAACACUCGAGUGUAUUCACACAC